rnacentral:rRNA from 1 species
CAAUAGCGUAUAUUAAAGUUGUUGCGGUCAAAAAGCUCGUAGUUGGAUUUCUGUUGAGAGCGACCGGUCCAUACCAUGUAUGCGUAUCUGGCUUGCUCUCGGCAUCCUCUCGAUAGACGUUGCUGCGCUUGAUUGCGUGGCGCGGAUCUCGGGACUUUUACUUUGAGGAAAUUAGAGUGUUCACGGCAGGCUUUCGCCAGAAUACAUUAGCAUGGAAUAAUACUAUAGGAUCUUGGUUCUAUUUUGUUGGUUUCUAGAAUUGAGAUAAUGAUUAAUAGGGACAAUUGGGGGCAUUCGUAUCAACACGUCAGAGGUGGAAUUCUUGGAUUGUGUUGCGACGAACUACUGCGAAAGCAUUUGCCAAGGAUGUUUUCAUUGA